AGCCUCCCAAAGUGCUGGGAUUAUAGGCGUGAGCCACCAUGCCCAGCCUAAGCAAAGCAGGCACAGCUGGAAGGCAGAGCACAGAUCCUCCAAAAUCAAAGAUCCCAUUUUUACACCAAAUCCUGGGUCCCAGAAAGUAGAGAGCCGCGUGGGACUGGCCAGUGCAAUGCUCCCACGGUGCAUUUCAUCUCAGCACGGGAGUGGAUGGGGCGAUGCUCCCACGGUGUGUUUCAUCUGAGCACGGGACUGGACGGUGUGAUCAUCCCACGGUGCGUUUCAUCUCCUCGCGGGACUGAAUGAUGCGGUGCUCCCACGGUGCAUUUCACCUCAGCACGGGACUGGACGGCGCAAUGCUCCCACAGUGCAUUUCAUUUCGUCAUGGGACUGGACAGUACAAUGACUCCACAGUGCAUUUCAUCUCAGCCUGGGACUGGAUGGUUCAAUACCCCCACAGGGCAUUUCAUCUCAGCACGGGACUACACGGUGCGAUGCUCCCACGGUGCAUUUCAUCUCAGCACAGGACUGGAUGACACGAUGCUCCAAUGGUGCAUUUCAUUUUGUCUUGGGACUGGACAGUACAAUGCCUCUACAGUGCAUUUCAUCUCAGCCCGGGACUGGACUGUGCGAUACCCGCACAAUGCUUUUCAUUUUGUCAUGGGACGGGAAGGUGUGAUGCCCCACGGUGCAUUUCAUUGUAAGGACAUUCCCUGGAGGCUGGUGGGCAACCCAGAGCUCUAACUGAACAGUAAAGUAGGUUAGUUGCUGGCCACUUGCAGAGUCCAAUUAUUUAAAGUGAGGUCUGGCACAAAUAAGGUUAUUUAUUCCAAAGCUAGCUUGGGGAAGUGGCACAGGCAUCUGUCUUGCCUUUAGCUGUCCCAUUUUGCUUUUGGAACAGAAAGUAGGCACUUCUAAAAGACAGGGGAGGAAGUGAGCAGGGGCAGAAGUGGGUUCAUGCUAGCUCCAGUGCCUUAUCUAUCAGGUGGUCGAGCUAGUGACUGCUGGCACUUUUGUGGUCAGGCCAUUAUCUCUCCAGGCCACCUCCUGAUGAGGGAGUUCCGUAGCAGGCAUGCUUUGGUCUGUAAAUCAGCUGUUAACUCUCAAGGAGUUAGUGCCAAGGGAUCUCGAGGGACUGUCUGGUGAAGGAGGGGAGAAAGGCUAGAUUUGCAUGUCUAAAGGGCUAAGUAGGAAGUCAGGAACUGGGAAAAGGAGAAAAAAAGAGAGGAAAAAAUAAUUAAA